rnacentral:lncRNA from 1 species
UCAAAAACACUUUUCUGUUAAUCCGAACCCCAAAUUCAAAAUCCCCAAUUCCAAAACCUAUCUUCAAAUCCGAUGGGCGUUCUUCCGGCGAGCUACGACUGCGAUUCCGACCGAUUCGGAUCGAUCCUUCCUCCUCCGCUCGCCGGAGAUUCAUCACCCCUUCGCUGCCGAUCUGGUAUUUCCGGCAGCUCUACUGUUUCAUCUUCUGCUGUUAUGGUUGAACUUGAUACUAUCAAAAUACUGUUUCAUCUUCUGCUGUUAUGGUUGAACUUGAUACUAUCAAAAUAUCAAUCGAGGAGGGGAAAUUAGAAAUAAAACAGGAUAUUAGAAAUUUUACCACGGAUAUAUUACUUGCAAUUGAAAAAAUCCAGAAUGCAAUGGGUGAAGUGACAGGUGGAAGUACGGAGGAGAUCAAAAUCUCUGGUGACAAGAUUGAAGAGAACUUCGCCGAGAUUAAAAACCGCUGCGCAGGGU